CUAAUGAAGACAGGGUAUACGCCAUACAGUGUGCUAUGAGGGAAAUUUUGCCCAAGCAACAGCACCAUGGCCUACUCUUAGAUCGAAUUCUAACUGCCAAGGGAUCUUUUAAGUUCACGUCAAUGUUAGCACGGGACCUCGUUUUUUGUACCAUCCGAACAACUAGACAGCCCUCUGUCCUGCACCAGUGACAAUCAGUUAGGGUUGUUGUACAUAAUGUCCUUUCAUUCAAUAGUUUUCGAGAUUAUUUUUAGCUCCCGGACACCCAUUAAUUAAUGAAGUUUUAUAUCAGUACGAAAAUCACCACAAGUAAAUGUACAGACAAUGAAUUAUUCGUGUUGGAUCGAUCCGCGUCAAAAAUCAAGAUACAACCUUACUGUGUGAGGGCAAACCGGAAGUGAUGUUAGAUUGCUGGCGGUUAGCUCAACUCGUCAAUUGUUACUUGAUUAUUUGUACUGGCUCUCUGAGGUCAAUAAAGCAACGUUUCCAAGUUCACAAAUUGUCUACGAUAUCAGUGUAACUGGAAGAGGACGUUAACACACCUGAUCACUGUAGUUGUCACGACAUCCAUUUGCAAGGUUUGAUAGAAGACGGAAGUGAUUGUUUUAAAAUUUGGAAGUCAAGACUCAGCUAGAUUUAUUUAACACUUUAUACAACUAUAAAAUUCAAACUACAGGCCUACACAUAAUCGGAUACAAAGAAGUGAAUAAUGGACAUGGAAACUAAUGAUGGUAACACUUUUCAUCAAUGUGUUCUUUGUGAUGAGAUUUUUCAACAACUUGAUGAUUUAGAAACACACAAUAAAGUGCAUGUUAAAGAAGAGAAAAUUGAUGAUGAAGAUGAAUAUUGUCAUGUUCAGUUUGAGGAAAAUAAAACUGAUGAUGUAGAUGAAUAUUGCCACAAUAAAAUACAUGUUAGAGAAGAGAAAACUGAUGUAGAUAAAUAUUAUCAUGUUAAGGAAGAGAAAACUGACGAUG